UGCCCGAAUCCUGACACAGGGAGGUAGUGACAAGAAAUAACAAUACAGGGCUACUUCUAGUCUUGUAAUUGGAAUGAGUACAACUUACAUCUCUUCACGAGGAUCAAUUGGAGGGCAAGUCUGGUGCCAGCAGCCGCGGUAAUUCCAGCUCCAAUAGCGUAUAUUAAAGUUGUUGCAGUUAAAAAGCUCGUAGUCGGAUUUCGGGUCGGGCUGAGCGGUCUGCCGAUGGGUAUGCACUGUUUGGCGCGGCCUUCUUUCCGGAGACCGCGGCUACUCUUAACUGAGCGGGCGUGGGAGACGGAUCGUUUACUUUGAAAAAAUCAGAGUGUUUCAAGCAGGCAGCUCGCUCUUGCAUGGAUUAGCAUGGGAUAAUUGAAUAGGACUCUGGUGCUAUUUUGUUGGUUUCGAACACCGGAGUAAUGAUUAACAGGGACAGUCAGGGGC
rnacentral:rRNA from 1 species